rnacentral:rRNA from 1 species
UAGCUUGCUAAUAAUUCUCUAGUGGCGCACGGGUGAGUAACACGUGAGUAACCUGCCCCCAAGAGUGGGAUAGCCCCGGGAAACUGGGAUUAAUACCGCAUAAAAUCGCAAGAUUAAAGCAGCAAUGCGCUUGGGGAUGGGCUCGCGUCCUAUUAGUUAGUUGGUGAGGUAACGGCUCACCAAGGCGAUGACGGGUAGCCGGUCUGAGAGGAUGUCCGGCCACACUGGAACUGAGACACGGUCCAGACACCUACGGGUGGCAGCAGUCGAGAAUCAUUCACAAUGGGGGAAACCCUGAUGGUGCGACGCCGCGUGGGGGAAUGAAGGUCUUCGGAUUGUAAACCCCUGUCAUGUGGGAGCAAAUUAAAAAGAUAGUACCACAAGAGGAAGAGACGGCUAACUCUGUGCCAGCAGCCGCGGUAAUACAGAGGUCUCAAGCGUUGUUCGGAAUCACUGGGCGUAAAGCGUGCGUAGGCGGUUUCGUAAGUCGUGUGUGAAAGGCGGGGGCUCAACCCCCGGACUGCACAUGAUACUGCGAGACUAGAGUAAUGGAGGGGGAACCGGAAUUCUCGGUGUAGCAGUGAAAUGCGUAGAUAUCGAGAGGAGCACUCGUGGCGAAGGCGGGUUCCUGGACAUUAACUGACGCUGAGGCACGAAGGCCAGGGGAGCGAAAGGGAUUAGAUACCCCUGUAGUCCUGGC